UACGGAAGGGGCUAGCGUUGUUCGGAAUUACUGGGCGUAAAGCGCACGUAGGCGGCUUGACAAGUGAGGCGUGAAAGUCCUGGGCUCAACCUGGGGACUGCGCUUCAGACUGUUUCGCUAGAGUCCGGAAGAGGAUGGUGGAAUUCCGAGUGUAGAGGUGAAAUUCGUAGAUAUUCGGAGGAACACCGGUGGCGAAGGCGGCCAUCUGGUCCGGUACUGACGCUGAAGUGCGAAAGCGUGGGGAGCAAACAGG
rnacentral:rRNA from 1 species